GAGGGAUAUAGUGGAUUUGUUUUUGUCAUAUAAGGGCAUAUGAGCUAAUGGCUCGAAGAGAAAGCUCGUGAGCUCCAAUGGUUAUUCUUGGCUUUUUGGAAAGUCUUGUCCUUCAUCCUUUGUAAAUUUUUGUUUUUGCCCUAAGCCCUUAUAAUGUGCAGAAACGUCCUCUUAAUUCAGCCCCAAACAUGUUAAUUUUACAUUUUAGCCCAAUCGAAUAUUCUAAAUUUGCAGCAUUGGUACCUAAGACUUCCAUAAAGUGAAAUUUAACUCAUGAUUUUCGCCAUAAAUUUCCAACUGUGCAAUUUAGACCAUGUGAUAUGCAAUUAU
rnacentral:lncRNA from 1 species